AGCAGCAGCCGCGGUAAUCCGUAGGUGGCAAGCGUUGUCCGGAAUUAUUGGGCGUAAAGGGCUCGCAGGCGGUUUCUUAAGUCUGAUGUGAAAGCCCCCGGCUCAACCGGGGAGGGUCAUUGGAAACUGGGAAACUUGAGUGCAGAAGAGGAGAGUGGAAUUCCACGUGUAGCGGUGAAAUGCGUAGAGAUGUGGAGGAACACCAGUGGCGAAGGCGACUCUCUGGUCUGUAACUGACGCUGAGGAGCGAAAGCGUGGGGAGCGAACAGGAUUAGAUACCCGAGUAGUCCCUGUCUCUUAUAC
rnacentral:rRNA from 1 species